UUUCCUACGGGGCGCAGCAGUGGGGAAUAUUGCACAAUGAGCGAAAGCCUGAUGCAGCAACGCCGCGUGAAGGAAGAAGGCCUUCGGGUCGUAAACUUCUGUCCUUGGGGAAGAAGAACUGACGGUACCCAAGGAGGAAGCCCCGGCUAACUACGUGCCAGCAGCCGCGGUAAUACGUAGGGGGCAAGCGUUAUCCGGAUUCACUGGGUGUAAAGGGAGCGUAGACGGCCAUGCAAGCCAGGGGUGAAAGCCCGGGGCCCAACCCCGGGACUGCCCUUGGAACUGCAUGGCUGGAGUGCGGGAGG
rnacentral:rRNA from 1 species